GAACCAAUCAUCUGCCGUAAAAUCAUGGAAUUGCACCAUCAGAAGCCUCAUCAACAUAUGUGCACAACUUGAAUGCUGCCAAGGCGCAGUUUGCUGAAGCACAGAAAAGCUGAUGUGUCUACGACCAUCCCAUGUUGAAGCUAUCUGGGAUGCCGCCAGCUGGAAGGAUAUCUUUAAUCACCUCGUUGCUGCUGCUAAGAGACGUUUGUGUCAUCCAAGCUUUAAUUGACCUAGAGAAGCCUGUUCGAAUUUGUGGGACGAAUGUUGGGCAAAGCAAAGCUGAUGAGUGAUAUUUUUAAAUAAAUAAUUUAACUACAACACAUUCUGCGUUUGUGAUAAUCAACGAAAAGAUGCGAAAUUUGAACAUUCAGUUACUAUUGAAGAAAUAUUAUAAAAAAUUAAUCCAUGUUGGUUCUUGCUUACUUUGAGAUAUGUAAUGCACACGAUUCAUGCAUUCUUCGUACAACUAUUAUUAGAAUAAAAUUACUUUAAACGAAUUUGUAUUGUACGUAGUAAUUAGAGCUAACUUACGCGCUUUAUUAAAGAAUUAUAGAAAUUAUUCCAUGUUAGUUUUUGCUUACAAGGUAAGCAAGGGGAAGAAAGUUCUGUAUACAUAAGAUGAAAUUGCUUUAUGUUUUUCUGUUUUUUUUUUUUGCUCCUAAAACUGCAACACUUAGGUUGAAGAUUUGUUAUUAUAAGUUAUGUCAUGUAUAUCGGCGUGGAUGCGUAGUGAAAAUGUAAAUUUUAUAA